CUGACGCCCCCUCCAGGUACUCACUGAUGCCCCUCCAGGUACUCACUGACGCCCCCUCCAGGUACUCACUGAUGUCCCCUCCAGGUACUCACUGACGCCCCCUCCAGGUACUCACUGACACCCCCUCCAGGUACUCACUGAUGCCCCUCCAGGUACUCACUGACGCCCCCUCCAGGUACUCAUUGACGCCCCCCCUCCGGUACUGUCUCACUGAUGCCCCCUCCAAGUACUCACUGAUGCCCCCCCUCCAGGUACUCACUAUGCCCCCUCCAGGUACUCACUGAUGCCCCCUCCAGGUACUCACUGAUGCCCCUCCAGGUACUCACUGAUGCCCCCCCUGAGUACUGUCUCACUGAUGCCCCCUCCAGGUACUCACUGACGCCCCUCCAGGUGAUCGUCUCUGUCUCUGGGUGCUUUGUGAUCACGGCUUACAGAAAGUUAAUCAUCAAAGAGCCUACCUUGGGGCCCCUCGUGUUCACCCCGUGUGGAGUUCGUAGAACUUCUCUGACAGCUUUCGCCAGUCGUGGAAUCCGAGCCGGCGUCUCCUCAGACUCUGCGGCCGCUGCCCCUCCCCCCGCCUCCCGGGACCCAGCGUGCGUGUGCUCCAGGCGGCCUGUGCUGUCUGCAUGCUUCAUGCCUGACGUGUCUCCCAACCCAAGACCCUCUGGUUAUGUCUCAUACACAGCAAACCCCCGCGAAGGUCUUCGAUUCUGCACGUUCCGUCUGCUGCUUCACAGAUUCCGGUUCUCCAGAGGACCCACCCCGUCUUCAGACGGCCGCAGCCAAGACCACCUCCACGAGCCGGGCACUGCGCUGACCCGGAGCUGUAAUCUCGCCGCGAGGCUUCGUGUGCACCUGCCAGCCGAGCACCUGGGGUCUCCCCAAAGCUGCCCUCCUGGGGGACUCUGAGCGGCGUUGUGCAUCGCCUCCCCUCCAGGACGCUGCCCCAAACCCCACCUCCCUUUUCCCCUUCUUUCUGCUUUAUUUGGAAGCCCCUUGCCUAGGUGCCCCAAGAACCCAACGAAACCAGAGUGCCCCCGCAGCUCUCCUCCCUGGGGCCGGGGCCGCUCAGGCUCGGGCUGCCCGCGGUCCUGAGCUCCAGUGUUUGGCUCCAGAAACUGUGACGCAGCGGAAGGCCCCGUGGCUCCCUGCGUCUCAGCAUCCACCCUCUGCUUUCAUGCCAACAGCUGGAAAAGUCCCUGAAGGCGGGGCUCAUCUCCAAGAGGUCCUGCCCUCCCUGGGAUCCUGAUGCUGCAAACUCUGGCCAUCCUGGCCGCUCUUGGCUGCCUUGUGAAACGUAGUUUGCGUUUUGUGUCCCGGAUGGGUUUUCCAGGUGUUUUUGGAAGAGGACUUGUUGCAACAUGUUCCAGCAUAACCAGAGUGGGUGCGUUUCUUCUGGUAAAAACAUGCGCUUUUCACCUUUCACUGGGCUCAAGGGAAGUUGGCUCUCGGUCCUCAGACGCACGUGCAUCUCGGUCCAGUGUGGCUCGGUGAUCGGUGGUGCCGGGAGCUCAAGGCCGAGUCCGCCCCCAUUCUGGCUGUCUCGGCUCUUCAAGGGAGAGCGUGUGGCGUCGCCUCUUCCCUGGGCUGCCAGCGUCCCGGCUGCCAGCGGGCGACCUUUCCCUUCAGUCGGAUUCAAACUUCACGAUCGCAUCGGCGAACUUCAACAGUUUUCUGUUCGGGAGUGGGGCUUCCCUCUUAGCCCAUAAACAUCUCUUUGGCCCGAAACGUUUCUCGGUGAGAACCCACGCUUGUGUGCAAAUGCCUCGAACCGAGGCGGGUGCGAGACGGCUCCGUGUGGAUCAGUUAUGCCGGUUGCUACCUUUUCCUUCCCUUUUGUGGUUCCUUUAAGAAAUAUCUAUCAACUAUAUUUAGCAUCCAUCAGGAAGGCCCAUCUAUGAUGAGCCCAUUAGGCAUCAGUUAGUCAAUUCAAAUACAUCACUCAGCCGACAUCGCACGGAGCCUGAUUUAAAAUGCAUGUGCUGGGGCCAUGAUGGAUGGCGCCUGUCAGACACCUCGGCUCCUCAUCUGCUGCUGAUCAAGACGGAACUGGUUUUGGAAAAGUAGAAGCCAUCUGCAGCUGCUUCUCAAAGUCAACCGACAUUUCGUUAAUUAGCAUUUAUUUACAGCCGUUGAAUAACAAUAUCAAGCGCCAGCGAGGAAUGAGCAGUUAACAUUUCUGCAGAAAGCUGGUGGCCCCAGGUUCCAUCACUGGCAACGAGUUGACAGCACACAUUCUGAGAGGAGGGGAAGGAGAAUGCGACGGAGACAGGGGGCCGAGGUGUGGCUCCGGGCUCACGGCGCAGCAGAGGGGCGGGCCAGCCCAGUGGCCAGGGCCACGCAGACCACACCACUUCCUUUCAACCCCCACCGGCCGUCCCUGGGAUCCCGGCGGUCGGCCGACUGUGGACGACUUCGCUGUGGUUCUGCUCGGGUCCCUGACUCGCCGGCAGCCUCUGCUGCGACGUGGGCAGGGGAGGAGGGAAAAGAGAGGAGCGUGACUUCCUCAGAGGAAUUUCAACUCGGAAGAAGUAGAUUCCGGGGAAUCGCCCACAGUCUGCAUUUCCGGCUCCCCUUCCUCCCUCCCUUCCAGUGACUCCCGGGAGUGGGAUGUCCCUACUGGAGACGCCUUCACAAAACUCCGGUCGCAGUCAGCCUGUGGCCAUCCGUGGCGCCAGCGGCUGCUCCACUUCCCAUCCAGCUCUCUGCUAAAGGCCUGGUAAAAGCAGCAGCAAUGCCUCAAGUCCGUGGGCCCCUGCACCCACGCGGGAGGCCUGGAAGAAGCUCCUGGCUCCUGGCUUCGGCCUGGCCCAGCCCUGGCUGUUGCAGCCAUCUGGAGAGUGAACCAGCGGAUGGAGGGUCUCUCUCUGUCUCUCCCUCUCUCUCUCUGUGUCUCUAACUCUGACUUUCAACUAAAUAAAUAAAACCAGCUGACAAUAUGGUAUCA
ensembl:lncRNA